GUGUGUCCCCUCUGUCUGGCAAGAGUUCAUCCUAACAUCCUUGUCAUUCAAUUUUGCUGGAUGGUUGAUGUGUUAAUUUUUUUAAAUAAUAUUUUUAAAAAUAGUAUUCCUGUAUGUAUAACUCUGAGAAGUCUCAACUGUUUAAACCUGCUCAAGAAGGUAAGAGAGAGUUGAAAAUGCUAAUGUGAGAAUGAGGAACAACAUCUCAGGCACACCAUUUCAGCUGCUGUUUUCCUGUGACUGCCUUACCUGGUAUAUGUGAAAUCUUCUUGUCCCUUUCAUGGCUUCAUAAAGCACUCGUGGCACUGUCCAGAGCCUGUUUCUGAGGUGGGAGGAGGAACAGCAAUCUCCUUAUCAUUUCAAGAAAAAUAUUAAAUAACACAGGAUAUUAAACCAAAAAGGCUGGCAACUGUUAAACACAGCUUACUGUAUAAAGUAAGAAGUUACUAACUAAAGAAUGAAGCAAAACAAAUUGCCAUUUCUUUGUGUAUGCCAGCUGUGUUCAGACACACAGGUUAGUCAAGCACUUCCUCGAGCUAAGAAGCUACAAUUGUUACAGACUGCAAAUAAAUUUCAGAUCUUGUUUUUCAGAGUUGAAUUUUAAACUGCAUUCUCAGGGUAAGAAGGAAAAGGUAUAAAAUUGGGUCCCACUGAUCCUUGUCCUGUAUUAAAACACUCCUAAUUAAAAUGCCAUAGGUACAUAAAGUCUCCCAACUCCUAUCUGUGUGCAGGCCAUAUGAAAAACUCCCCCAGUGCUGUUUGCUGUUACUUUCUAUGGAUUUGUUCAAUGUAUUUAUUUCUCUUAUAGGCAGAAAUAGUCACCAGGCAGAAGGUAACUAUAAAAUACCUUCAGCUCAAGCAUUUUUGCUUCACAAGCAGGAAAGUUGAAGGGAUGCUUACUGCUUUUCAUUUCAACCUGUCCUUGCUGUAGCUUUGCUUCUAGGAGCAACUUUCUGCUACACUUUCUCCCAUUACUGUACAACAAAUACUUUUACCUAGAAAACCACUUUCAUAUCUCCUUUUUCCACCAAAGGGUGGAAAAAAGGUUUCUAUGGUAACAGAACUAAGCCUGCAAAACCAGAACAGCCCAACUUGUAAAAUUCAAGCCAAUAGAAGACCUCUACUAAAAGCACAAACCCACAAGGAACUAAACAUAGCCUCACUGUUUCCAUGCGUGGCUGCCUCUGUGUCAUUGCUUCCCUCCUGCAGAAGGUGGGGACACAGCCAGCUUUGUUUAUAGAAGCACAGCUCAGCCUCAAAUAACAGCGGGCAGGAAACAGCCCCUACCUCUGAGGCUUGUAAACUGAACUGCAGACUGUGCACACUUCAAGGUACCCAGAGAAUGUUUCAGCUCCUUUUAAAAAACUCUGGAAGUUCCAUUAUCCAUGUAACAAUCCUUGAACAUGAACCAAAUGUGCAACUUCAGAAAAUCAAUGAACAAAUAGAGACUAAAAGUGGUGUACUCUGCAAAACCAAACUGCUGCUCAGAAAGCAAAAUCUCCCAAAUGGGAAGCACUGACAGAGAUAUGCGUGGCAGUUGUAGCUACAGUCCCACUCCCCUCUCCAGCAACUCGGAACAAGAGCUUCACUUAGCUUCAGGAGAAUCUAUAACGGGGGAAAAAAAAAAAUCCCUUUUAAGGAAGCAUUUCAUGAGUGUCAAGUUGUACAUGCCCACUCCAUUCCCUUGGACAAAGGGAAGCACAAGCUGCAUACAUGGUUCUUUUCCUUUCUCUGUUCUGAGCUUCUGCACCAGUUGUUAGCCAAAAAUAAACCCCAUUCCACAACCAUAUAUGUGCAACAACCUCCUAGUGAGUGCAAGCCCCCUCCAGCACUGCUGUUACUCCAUGAGGCCAAGAGACUCUGCCACUGCUGCGGGGCUAUGCACAUAACCCAGCUCAACCAGGAAUGCCUUUUGCAUCUCUUUUCCUUUCUGGACAAAAACAGUAGGAAAAAUUUAGCAGAAACAUGUCACAAGUUGCUAGAAGUGUUUCAGGAUCCUUUACUGUGGUCUUUGUUGAACUUUCAUUCUCCAGUGGAACUAAAGAAGGAUAAUUUCUUCCUGGGACCUGCUUUAAAAUACUUAUCCAUCUGCUGGUAUUCAGAGAGAGUCAAGGUGUGUAACAUUGAGGACUGGAUGAAAAAAAGUUUCCAGAAAGACUUCUGUAACAGGCAUGAGAACACUGUCAGUGAUUUUUUACUAGACGUUUGCAACAGAUGUCCAAAUCUGCUGUCUCUGACCCUCUCUGGAUGUGGCCACGUUACAGAUGACUGCAUUUUGCAGGUUCUCAAGAACUGCCCAAACCUGAAGAGCCUCAAACUGGAGAACUGUGUGCGGAUCACUGACCACACACUGGAGGCAGUGACCCUCCAUGGGGCAUCACUGCGAACGCUCCACGUGGAUUUCUGCCGCAACAUAACACAAGCUGGACUAGAGAGAGUCAGGCAGAAGUGUCCUUCAGUAAUGCUGAGAGCAGAGAGAAGUGCUAACAUGAUCCCCGACAGUAAGCCAGAAAAAAAGCUUGAAAAAGCAUCAAGAAAAUUGGUUCAGCUCUAAGUGCAUUAAAAUAAUCAGUGUGGGUAUUUUACCUCACUCUGGUAGCAAUGAACUGUGGCUACUUUCCUGGGCUCUGGUCAAGUCCAAACAAAUGGUUGUUUUGUAAAGGGUAUACUGGGAAAAGGCAUGCAUCUCCUCCUGGUCAGGCUUAAGGACAAAAACAUUUGUUCUCUGUUAUUCCUUGAAACUGGAAAACCUUGCAUUGCUGUCACAAAAUGCCUGACCUGCUGAAAACUGCAGUUCUGGUACCCUCCUGUUGCAGAUGCACCUCACUCAGAAGAGGGAAGCAGCAAUGUGUUUAUUGAGGCCAAAUAAUUUGAUGAGUUCAAUAAAUUUUAUGGACGUUUUAAGAAAGUUUAACAGUAGUAUGACAAGGUGCAGUAAGUUUGAUGGCAAGGUUCACCUGACUGCAUGGAAGAAACACACAGAGUAAACUGAGGCAGAGUGACUCACUCAGGGACCUGAGAACACAAACAUUAAGGAAAAGCUUCCCACUGAGUCACAAGGUUCAGACUGGAGACUUCUUAUGUAAUAGCAAGGGCAUAAAGCCACAGCAGAGAGAGCCUGAGUCACUGUAGGAUUUUCACAAAUUUCAGGGCAAGAGUGAUUAACAAACUUCUGUUAAAGGGUAUAUCCAGACAGUCGUUCCAUCCACUAAGGGGAAUAACUACUCCCUGAAAGGUCUUUCUAGCAAAAGCAGAGUGCUGACCACCAGCACUGCCUCAGUGAUUAACAGCGGUAGCUAAUUCACCAGGCUUUUUUAUUAAAUGAGGGAAGCAUGGAUUCAAGGCACACAAAACACAGUUUGAACCUCUGUAUGAUGUACUUACAUCAUAUAACACACACCAAGUUAUUUUGUAAAGCUGACAUUAAAGGAAGUGCAAUACGAACAAAUGCUAGUUCAGAGAACUAACCCACAAGAAAAGACAGUGACUAACAGCCUGUAGCUUUAAAUGCUAAAUUAGGAACACACCACAGGCCAGCUCUAUAUGAACACCCAUUUCUCAUUGCAAAGUACAAAACCAGUAACUAUUUUCAUCCCAAAGCACAAGGCUGUCCCUUUCCUAUAACGCUGCACUGCUACCUAGAAGUGAAACUUUUUUUUACAUGCUUUUGAUGCUAUGCCACCAUCUACAAAAUCUGACACCAGAGGACUUUACAGCUCUCAACAUAACUGAAUAUACUUACUUCUCCUUCCCAUCCUGGUUAAUUGAUCCACAGAUAUCCUUGGUACUCUCUAAUUUGGCUGAGCUAAGAAAUAAAUCACAGCAUUACAGCAACUUUGUCAAACAAUGCUGCAAUUCUAGAGGAAAUGAUCAGUAUGAGCAUCCGUAAGAAACGAUCACCCAGAAAACCAAUGAGGAAAAUAAAUUAUUGCAUCUUCAUUACAUAGAGAUAUUUAACAGCAUGACACUGUAAAACUGGUAUUUCAUUAACUCAUUCCUAAAGUUUAAGUAGGGCCCUUAUACACCACAAAGUAAGGAAGAAAACUGGAAGUGUGGACAAAGACAAACAGCAAUCCUCAGCCAGCACUGACAGCUUGGAAAGGACAUUGCUGAGCUGAACAAACUUACUGUGAUGUGGAAAUUGGGAAGCUGACACAACUCGUACCUUGGAUACACAACACCAGUUCCACACACUGCUGACAAGCCAAAACAAGGAUACUGCAUCUGCACCUAACGGGAGCAACAGAUCCAGGUAUCAAAGAGACAUGAAAACAGCUGGAGACUUCUGGAAAAAUCUUUCCCAGACUGAGGAACUGAUCCAUGUUGCUAAGUCCUGUAUUGCAGUCUUUCAUACACAGACAACAAAGCUCCUACAUUUCCUCUGUGCUAUUUAAACGCCAUUUUUGUUCUAGCAUGUACUGACUAAAAAAAAAAAAAAAAAAAAACACCACUCCUUUCAAAAGGUUCAUUUAUAUUUUCAUUACGAAAAGCAUCUAAAAAGUUCACAGAUCUGACUGACACCAACCAUAAGUUUUUUCAUGUUGAAAGAAUUGAAGACAGCUCAAUAAUUAGGAGAAAAUCUGCAAUUUUUUAAAACACUUGGAUUAAUUUGGGUAGCAUGUUCUGAGUGCUUUCCCAAACUGCUACCACGAAAGAGCACAGAGAGUAAACAAGAAAAUAAUGGAAAUUGACUAAAACACAACCAUGCUGAAGGGCGAAGCAGAAACAUGACAAUAAAAGCUUUCUUUUCCACCAAAAGGAAGCUAUGCCAGGCACAUGUGUCAAGUACAGUGAGAGGCUCCCGGAGGUCAGGAGCAGAGGGAACAGGACGUACCUGGCCU